AGCGAACGCUGGCGGCAGGCCUAACACAUGCAAGUCGAACGAACCUUUCGGGGAUAGUGGCGGACGGGUGAGUAACACGUGGGAACGUGCCUUUAGGUUCGGAAUAACUCAGGGAAACUUGUGCUAAUACCGAAUGCGCCCUUCGGGGGAAAGAUUUAUCGCCUUUAGAGGGGCCCGCGUCUGAUUAGCUAGUUGGUUGAGGUAAUGGCUCACCAAGGCGACGAUCAGUAGCUGGUCUGAGAGGAUGAUCAGCCACAUUGGGACUGAGACACGGCCCAAACUCCUACGGGAGGCAGCAGUGGGGAAUCUUGCGCAAUGGGCGAAAGCCUGACGCAGCCAUGCCGCGUGAAUGAUGAAGGUCUUAGGAUUGUAAAAUUCUUUCACCGGGGACGAUAAUGACGGUACCCGGAGAAGAAGCCCCGGCUAACUUCGUG
rnacentral:rRNA from 1 species